AGAAAGCCUGAAGAAUUAUUGAUCAAGAGCAUUUUAAAAAACUACAAGUCUGGCUGCUUAGAAGCAAAAUAUACAGAAAUGAGGGGUGGCCCGAGAGUUUUGCACAUCACUUUAGUUGGUAGCUAGACGGAAACAAGUGUGAGCAAUAAGAAAAUCUGCAAGCCAGCACCUCUAAAUCUCUGUCAUUAACGUGCUAUUAUACAUUUUAUUUCUAUAAAAUAUCACAAGUCUGAAACUAUUUCUCCAUUAAUCUUUUGCCAAGCUAAGCUAACUGUUAGCUAUCUUUGUAAUUAGCAAAUAUUUCACAAAAUUACACACACAAAAAAAUUGUAAGUCAAUAGUUUAUUGUUUUAUUAGAGUAAAAGAAAGACUAGAGUAAGAGAAAGACUAGUCGCACUCUGUCUUUUUGCUAAACAUGAUGCUAAAGCUAGCAACCCGCAACCUAGCAAAGAUUGGAAAGAAGGGAAAACAAUGAGGUUUGACUUAUCCAAACAAGAUGCAGUUUCAAGAGAGGCUGUGGAAACGGAGUGAGGCAACGGUCUGUGAUGAUCUUGGCGGCUGGUGAGGAUUUGGCAUGCAGACCAAGGGCUACAGCAGCAGCACCACAUGCGGCCUUUUCCCUCAGGAUAAUAACUGCCUGUGGAGGAGAGAGGGAGAAAACCUGCAAGGAUCAGCCUUCCUGUUCACACCCCAUCAUCCAUGAGCUGGCAGGAUCCUUGUGUUGUUAUGGUCAUGAGACAUUUCCUGUGUGUGUUUUGGGGUUGCAUCUGGGCUUGUUUACAGCCUAUGCUAGAGCCUCAUUAAGUGGAACAUGGUACUAGGCGGAUGUGGCGGAGGGGGGCUCAAGUGCCUAUUAGUGGGGCCAGUCUGUAGCCCCAAACCAGAACCCAACUGGGCCAGGUGCUUCAGCCGGGUUUCCAAAAUACAGCCAAACAUGGCGAAGGAAAGCUUACUCAUUAGAAAAGUGUGCAAUUAAUUAAAGAACCCAGCACAUGUAUCAUCCACGGAGGCCUCAGAUGCAGAAUUAAAUAAUGCUGGUGAUA